UGCCAGCAGCCGCGGUAAUACGGAGGGGGCUAGCGUUGUUCGGAAUUACUGGGCGUAAAGCGGGUGUAGGCGGACCGGUCAGUCAGAGGUGAAAGCCCAGGGCUCAACCCUGGAAUUGCCUUUGAUACUGCCGGUCUUGAGUCUGGGAGAGGUGAGCGGAAUUCCGAGUGUAGAGGUGAAAUUCGUAGAUAUUCGGAGGAACACCAGAGGCGAAGGCGGCUCACUGGACCAGUACUGACGCUGAGAUCCGAAAGCGUGGGGAGCAAACAGGAUUAGAUA
rnacentral:rRNA from 1 species